CAGCAGUAGAGCCAAGCUAUAAUAAAGCUGACUGUGAGAGACAAUUUAACCAUCAAGCGCGGAGCGAGUGUGAGAAAUGCUUCAGCCAUCCAGCGAGGAGCUUUAAUGAAAGAUGCUUUCACCAUCCAGCGAGGAGCUUUCAUGAGAGAUGCCUUAACCAUCCUGCCAGGCAGCUUACUGUCAACACACGUCCAGCUGAGUGAGAACUGACUCUAAUAAACGUCAUGUGCUCCGAGCCGGGCUUUGAAAUAAGACAACAUUACGAGACCCGGAGUCUUCGCUGAAGCGAAAAGACAAUGACAACAACAACAAUGACAGCAGAAACUAAACUGCUCCGAAGCACGACAAAGGGAAAGAUUCAUUUCAACAACAGUUUGCCAAAGCCACAUAAAAAGGAAGAAAUUCUCCAUACCUCUUUGUCAGAUGCCAAAAAAUCACGAGUCUCGAACAAGUCAGAAAACCAUCGGUCUGGAUUUCAAAAUAAAACAAAAAGAACAAAAAGAAAAUCCUCACAAAACCACCCAGGAUCCUUAUUGUCCUCCUGUUUUUCUUUCCGUCUGUCUCUCUCUUUCUUUCUUUCUUUCUGUGAGUUUGUCCCCCGUGAAUGAGAGCGUUCACUUUCAGUGAGUCUGCGCUGAUGAGCUGGGGAAAGGGACUGGAGGGACUACAGUGAGCUCCAGCAGGUUGUGCCCCAUGAAGCCGCACGUCCGUCCGCCUGCCUGCCUGCCUGCCUGCCUGCCCUGCACUAGGCUGGGCUUGGUUAACGUCUCACUCUCUCUCUCUCACUCCUCUCUCUCACACACGCGGGUAGCAGUUCUCCUCAGCGCAGGAGAAGUCCAUCAGAGCCUGGCGAGCUGCUCACCACAGAGGCGCAAGUGGAGUGGAGAAGCGCUGAGGAAUCGAGUAGCGGCGGAGCAUCCCUCUUCUGUGGCUCUGAGCGCGUGCAGAGCACCGGUCUAAACACAACAUGCCGGUUUGGUCAAAUCCUCACAGACAUGGAGGACUACAGCAGCGGUAGGGGCAUAAAACAGCGGCGGGAAGCUGAAGAGACAAAACAGAAGCCGGGUGCGGGAGGCGGUAUGAGCAUCUUCAUCCGUCCUCAGGCUUCAUUCCCUCCUCUCACAUCGUUCUGCGUGUCUCUUUUAUUUAUUUGGGGAGCGCAGCUUCCAGGGAGCGCACACUUGCGAGAGACGGAGAGGCAGAGAGAGAGUGAGAGCGAGAGAGAGAGGGAGAGGCUGAGAGAGGC
ensembl:lncRNA